AAUGAACGCUGGCGGCGCGCCUAAUACAUGCAAGUCGAGCGAGAAGACGUAGCAAUACGUUUGUAAAGCGGCGAACGGGUGAGGAAUACAUGGGUAACCUACCCUAGAGUGGGGAAUAACUAGCCGAAAGGUUAGCUAAUACCGCGUACGCUCCUUGGACUUCGGUUCAGGGAGGAAAGCGAUGCCGAGGGUAUCGCGCUCUUGGAUGGGCUCAUGUCCUAUCAGCUUGUUGGGAGGUACGGCUCACCAAGGCUUCGACGGGUAGCUGGUCUGAGAGGACGAUCAGCCACACUGGCACUGCGACGACGGGCCAGA
rnacentral:rRNA from 1 species